rnacentral:tRNA from 1 species
CCUGGUGGCUGAGAUAGUAAAGAAUCUGCCUGUAAUGUAGGAGGCCCAGGUUCAAUCCCUGGGUCAGGA